AAGAGUCCACGACGCCGCUGCCGUCCCCAGCGCGAGCUAUGCGCGUUACACAACACUAUUCCUUAAGUCAUAAGCCACCGUUUGCGAGCGUUUCAUAUUUAUCUUUGACAAAAAUAAUUUUGUCGUUAUCAGAUAUUGGAUUGACAUAUCUUGAAGUCAAUCUAGCGUUUUUAAGUUUUUCAAACAGAUCGAAGAUUACAGAACGCGGUUUGCUUGCAUUAUUAUAGGCAGAUUCCAUGCGGGUUUCAAAGGAGAGGCCCGUGAGCCAGCGACGCGUAGCCAUCUGUCACACGUCACAGCUGCUCCUCCCCGCGAAUCCUGCGCGCCUGGUACUUCUAAUUAUAGUCCACGCUAAUUAAUUAGGAGAUACCCUCGCCAACACUUUUGUUUCAUUGCACGAAGAGCAUUGAAAAAUUGUCGAUUAAGCUCGACGGAGUUUUUUGUAACGUGGCAAUUCAUUUCUGUUAUUAAUACAUUACUACCCCUUUUCAUUAAAAAUAAUGACAUCCAGAA